rnacentral:rRNA from 1 species
UACAGAGGUCCCAAGCGUUGUUCGGAUUCAUUGGGCGUAAAGGGUGCGUAGGCGGCGCGGUAAGUCGGGUGUGAAAUCUCGGGGCUUAACUCCGAAACUGCAUUCGAUACUGCCGUGCUUGAGGACUGGAGAGGAGACUGGAAUUUACGGUGUAGCGGUGAAAUGCGCAGAUAUCGGGAGGAACACCAAUGGCGAAGGCAGCUCGCUGGGACGUGACUGACGCUGAGACGCGAAAGCGUGGGGAGCAAACAGG